rnacentral:lncRNA from 1 species
CAGGAUAUAAACAAGGUAAACAUGACCGAAGGAUUCUCGCUGCAGCAAAGAGGCAUUCUUGCUACAGUGAAAUUAAGAGCACAAGUUUCUGAACCAAACCCGAGAGUUUCUCAUUGCAGCAAGAUUCAUUCUCGUUGUAGCGAAAUUUAAAGCAUGGAUUAAGACUGCCUACCCGAGAGUUUCUCGCUAUAGCAAAAUAAAUCUCGCUGCGGUGAGAAAUAAAACAAUUUAGUUGAAGGGGUCUUGUUACAUCAAAAAGCCAUUUCUUGCUGAAAUGAAAAACAAUUUGGGAGCAAUUAACAAUGCCAACAUACAAAACAUACACAAAUAUUUUCAUAAACUUUCUAUAACAUAUAUAUAUAUAUACAUACAUCAUCAUGCAUACCAUCCCACCACACUCAACUCAUGUGCACUCCCUAUUCGCACAUAGCUGGGUCAUCAUCAGCUCAUGUGCACUCCCACACCUCACAUAGUUGGGUCAUCAUCAGCUCAUGUGCACUCCCUAUUCGCACAUAGCCGGGUCAUCAUCAACUCAUGUGUACUCCCACAUCGCACACAGCCGGGUCAUCAUCAGCCCAUAUGCACUCCCACACUGCACAUAGCUGGGUCAUUAUUAUCACACAAAAGGAGCAUCCAAAGCAUAAUAUACAUAUCAAUAUAAUGUGAUAACGCAUGAACUAUUCAUAUUGCAUAUUUCACAAGAUAGAAACAUUUCAUCAAGGGCUUGUUCCCCAAGUAUAUUUUUUAAAAAAGCAAAAACAAAUGAAACUUUCAAAUGAUUUAUUUAAACAUAUAGGCACUUCCCAAAACAUUUUGAAAUGCAAGUUCACUCACCUUAUGAUAGUUGGAUAUUAUAUCGCUAUUUUUUCGGAGGCAUAUCUAGCUAUUCCUACAUGCCAGUCGCUCGUUAUUUCCCCCGGCACACCACCACAAUACUCUACCUUUACUGUUACACUUCCUAGCAACAAUCCCAAUUCAAUAUCUUUAGCGUUCAUCAUUUAUACUUCCCUUUUUCAUUCAAUCAUGAAUCCUUAUUCAACUUAACUUAUCUUGACACAAUUUUUUCCAAAGUUGCUUUUAUCCCUUGCUUGCGUAAUUCUUUAAAUUAUGAUUACUGGCAAUUUGUUUAUGACUCUAACACAUAUAUUAAUCUUUUCUAAGGGUAUUUAUCAAGUUCAACCAUCCUUUCCACAACAACCACAAUUUCUCACAAUAUUCCUGUCACGACCUGGUACUCCCCUCGAGCUCGUGACAAUCGUCGUGAUGUCCUGAUAGACAUUCUUUGCCCGGAAUGCCAACCGGAACCUCACAAGGCUUUAAUAUCGAUUUUCGCACCUCCCCUGUGAGCAACAAUUGUUAAGUAUCAUGUUUUGAGAGAUUAUAAACUAUUUUCAACUCAAAACAAUAGAAAAAUAAUUUUUUUCUCACAGGGGUAUUUUGGUCAUUUUCUCAAAAAUUUCGAAACCAGCUAAAAAUGUAGUAUGUGAGUGGAAAACACAUAUUUCAUAAUAAAAAUAAGUUUAGAUAUCUAAAACAUUCAUUUAAAUUGAAAUUAUAACUAUUUGAAUAUAAUAGAAAUAUUCAAUAAAAUAUUCUAUUUUCUUAUAAAACAAUAUUUAUAGAGUUACCGGUAAAUAAUUUUUAUAGCAUAAAGCUCAAUAAAUUCAUACAUACUGUAAUACAGAUAACCAAAGUAUAAAAUUUAAUUUACAGUGACAUGUGGGCCCACGAACGACUAAAAGUAUUAAAAGUAGUAAACCUAUAGUUUUUGAGGAUGUAAGUCCAACUGUAGCCUUCAACAAAGUGAGCUAUCUACCGACUAUCCUGAGCCUGAAAGGGCUGGAAAGGAGGGUGGUGAAAUUAUAUAAUCCAGUGAGUAAACAAAUACCAUCUAAAAUAUCUAAAUUUGAGUAAAUGGAGACAGAUAAAAUAAUUUAUCAUACUGUAAUUCAUCACCUUUCAAAUAAAUAAAAUCAAUUCAUAUAAAUCGAGUAAUCAACAUGGCUUAUGAAGUUUUUAAAAGCUUUGGCUUGUGCCAAAAUCAUUCUUAUUCUCAGUUAUCAGGGAUACCUUGGCCGAGGGCUAUCCCAACCGAGUCCGUCAAGGCUGUUAAAAAUUUCAAAUACACAUAAACAUAUUUUUAUUUUGAAAACAUAGUCGUUCCUUGGCGUUGGCUGAGUUCACCCUCACGUGGUGGUUUGGCGUGAAGUAAACUCUAAAAGUGUACCUCAGGAGUUACCUUACACGCCUCUCCGAUCGAGGUAAGAAUAUAAUAGGGUUAUCGUGCCCCUCUAAUAGGCUGGUCCAUGGAACCCGCCCACUGCAGCAAGCUAAACCCACCAAUUCAAUAAAAUCUCAACCACAUGACAUGGCAAUUAUAUCACAAUCCAGCCUCUCGAGGCUAAAUACACAGUUCAUAUAUUUUCAGCACAUUUACCAAUUUAGCCAUUCAUGCAAAUAUUGUCAUAAGCCAUUCUAUUCAAACCAUGAAUUUACAACACAUGAAAACAGUCUCCAAUUACUCUAUUUUCAAAACCAUCAUUCAAUCUCAAGACAAUUUUAUAAAAUCAUUUUCAUUUAAUCUCAUUUUGCUUAUAAAACAUAAAGAUUUACCAAUUAAACUCAUUUUCCAUAAAAUCACAAAAUCAGAUAAAACCACUUUAGAUAAUUAAGACGAUAGUAAGGUUACUCACUAUUUUAGGAGUCGAAUUCCGAGUACUCCGAUUCUUGAUCCUCAGGUACUAUCUCUUUACUUUUGCCAAAAUGCUCAUCACCU